CUCUCGGCAACGGAUAUCUCGGCUCUCGCAUCGAUGAAGAACGUAGCGAAAUGCGAUACUUGGUGUGAAUUGCAGAAUCCCGUGAAUCAUCGAGUCUUUGAACGCAAGUUGCGCCCGACGCCAUUCGGUCGAGGGCACGUCUGCCUGGGUGUCACGCACCGUUGC
rnacentral:rRNA from 1 species